CAUAAUGCUGCAGUUUCUACUUUUUGGCACACUUGUCUCUCAGUAACAGCAAUAUCCUUCUGGUGUCUGUAUCUUUGCCAAAGAGUUAGAAAUAACCUUGAGAGUGGUGGCCAAGAAAAAACUCCUAAAGUAUACAGUAAUGUGUUAGAGUUUAUAAUCCUGAGACAUUAUUGUCAGGUUCCAAGAGAAUCUUGUUACCAUAGAGAUGAAUCAAGGAGAUAGAGGUACCUAGCCUAGACACUGGGUGGAAAAUAUUAAAAUUCAGCUGGCUCUCAAAGGUCUGUAACUUCCCCUCACCUGAGGUUGUGACAUGAGAGAUAGAAAGCUGUAUGCCAUGGGGACAGAUGAGCCCCACACACCCAAAAAGCCACAAAAAGGAGUGAAAAGAUUAGAUUCAGAGCAUGGUUUGUUGAGGUCACAGAAAGGAAGCAUCGGGCUAUCACCAAAGUCCAGGACAUCAUUUUGUACAAAGAGACACCUCACAUAGAGAAGAUUCAGCCUUAGAAAUGCUUAGCAAUCAUUCACAUCAAUCACAUGGAUCUGAGGAGAAAACCUGAGAAGAACAUCAAGCCAGAAGUCAGCUCUCUCCAGUGCCUCUCCAGUGCCUGGCAUACACAAACCUCUCAACAAAGAACUACUGCAUAAAUUAAUGGUGUUCAUGGGGCCUCUGCUGGAUAAACCCUCUCACCAAGAUUCAGGAGGGUUCCCCAGAGGUCUUUCCAGUCUCCUCAUUCUGGACCUGAUUCUCCAGGUACCAGUAACCACUGGACAUCUGCAACCUGAAAAACAGACAUAUCAUCACUCCACCUGCACUAACUUCCUAAGGCUGAUGUUACAACCUACCACAGACUUAGUGGUUUACCACAAUAGAAACGUUUAUAGAGGCCUGAUGUUCAAAAUCAAGAUUUCAGCAGGUCCAUGCUCUCUCUGAAGCCUCAAGGGAAGAAUCUUUUCUUUUUGUCCAGCAUUUGGAGGCUCCUGGAAUUCAGUGACUUGCAGCCACGUAACUCCAAUCUCUACUUCCAUCUUCAGUUGGCCUCCUUCCUUAUGUGUAUCUCUAUGUCCUCUCCUCUCCUGAAAUAAUUGGGUCCAGGGCCCACCCUGAAUCCAGGGCUAUUUCAUCUGAAGAACUUUGACUAAUUACAUAUAUACAAGGGUCCUAUUUUUAAAUAAGGUCACAUUCUGAGAUUCCAAGUGGAUACAAAUUUGGGGAGGUCAUGACUCAAUCUACUACACCUCCAAAUUCAUUGCAACUAUGAGUAAGGCUUGAACUUAUUCACUAUCUAGUGUCUUGGGGACCAAGCUACAUCUUUCUCACUAAUUGUAAUGACUGGUAUUUUACUCAGUUCAGGCUUAGAAUGCCAUAGCCUGGGGAGUGUAACUCCAAGAUCAGGGUGCCAGCAUGGUCAGGUUCUGGUGAAAAUUCUCUUCUGGAUUGUGGAUAGUCAUUUUCUGGUUAUACACUCACAUGGUGGGGAGGGCAAGAGAAAGCUUUCUAGGGUUUCUUUUAUAAGGAACUAAUCCCAUUCAUAAGGGCUCCACUUCUAUGACCUAACUACCUCCCAAAGACCCUACCUCCUAAUAAUACUAUCGUAUUGGGGGUUAGGAUUUCAACAUAUGAAUUUGGAGAGGGAAAGAUGCAAACAUUUAGUCCAUAAUAAUUGGUCAAAAAAGGAAAAUAAAAAGCUUAAUAAUUAUAAACCA
rnacentral:lncRNA from 1 species